UCGGGAGGAGGAUUCGGGCCCUAUUGCGGUCGGCUUCCCAAGCCGGUUGUCGCGGGUUCGAAUCCCGUCUCCCGCUCC
rnacentral:tRNA from 1 species